rnacentral:rRNA from 1 species
UACCAGCACCCCGAGUGGUCGGGACGAUUAUUGGGCCUAAAGCAUCCGUAGCCGGUCAUGCAAGUCUUCCGUUAAAUCCAGCCGCUCAACGGUUGGGCUGCGGAGGAUACUACGCGGCUAGGAGGCGGGAGAGGCAAGCGGUACUCAGUGGGUAGGGGUAAAAUCCUUUGAUCCAUUGAAGACCACCAGUGGCGAAGGCGGCUUGCCAGAACGCGCUCGACGGUGAGGGAUGAAAGCUGGGGGAGCAAACCGG